UCUUCCUCUUCCUCUUCCUCUUCCUCUUCCUCUUCCUCUCCUCCUCCUCCUCCUCCUCCUCCUCCUCCUUCGCCUGAGGAUACAACUCUUCCACAUGGAACCUGGGCAUCUUUCCAGAUGGCAUUCCCCAUGAGGCCAGCUCUCUAAGCCUCUGGCAGUU
ensembl:miRNA Gm22904 predicted gene, 22904